rnacentral:rRNA from 1 species
AGUGAACGCUGGCGGCAGGCCUAACACAUGCAAGUCGAGCGGAUGAACAGAACGUGCUCGUGGUUUCGGCUGCCGACUGGUGGGUAAGUCCGAGGAAUCUGCCUGUUAAUUUUUUAUAACGUGCUAAAGCGGGCGCUAAUACCGCAUUCGUCCUUAGGAAGAACGGGGGAGAUCUUCGGACCUCACGCUCUCAGGUGAUCCUAGGUCGGAUUAGCUAGUUGGUGGGGUAAAGGCCUACCAAGGCGACGAUCCGUAACUGGUCUGAGAGGAUGAUCAGUCACACUGGAACUGAGACACGGUCCAGACUCCUACGGGAGGCAGCAGUGGGGAAUAUUGGACAAUGGGCGAAAGCCUGAUCCAGCCAUGCCGCGUGUGUGAAGAAGGUCUUCGGAUUGUAAAGCACUUUAAGUUGGGAGGAAGGGCAGUAAGUUAAUACCCUGCUGUUUUGACGUUACCAAAAGAAUAAGCACCGGCUAACUUCGUG